rnacentral:rRNA from 1 species
CCUACGGGAGGCAGCGAUGAGGAAUUUUUGGCAAUGGGCGCAAGCCUGACCGARCAACGCCGCGUGCRGGAUGAAGGUCUUCGGAUUGUAAACUSCUUUCSUCGGGGACGAAUACGGACGGUACCNGAGGARAARGCCCCGGUUAAUUMCGUGCCAGCAGCCGCGGUAAU